rnacentral:rRNA from 1 species
GAGCGCAACCCUUGUCCUUAGUUACCAGCACGUAAUGGUGGGCACUCUAAGGAGACUGCCGGUGACAAACCGGAGGAAGGUGGGGAUGACGUCAAGUCAUCAUGCCCCUUAUGUCCAGGGCUUCACGCAUGCUACAAUGGCUGGUACAGAGAGUGGCGAGCCUGUGAGGGUGAGCGAAUCUCGGAAAGCCGGUCUCAGUUCGGAUUGGGGUCUGCAACUCGACCCCAUGAAGUCGGAGUCGCU